UUGUUGGUAAGGUAAAAGCUUACCAAGGCUUCGAUCAGUAGCUGGUCUGAGAGGACGACCAGCCACACUGGGACUGAGACACGGCCCAAACUCCUACGGGAGGCAGCAGUGGGGAAUUUUGGACAAUGGGGGCAACCCUGAUCCAGCCAUGCCGCGUGAGUGAAGAAGGCCUUCGGGUUGUAAAGCUCUUUCAGCCGGAACGAAACGGUUACGGAUAACACCCGUGACUACUGACGGUACCGGAAGAAGAAGCACCGGCUAACUACGUGCCAGCAGCCGCGGUAAUACGUAGGGUGCGAGCGUUAAUCGGAAUUACUGGGCGUAAAGCGUGCGCAGGUGGUUUUGUAAGUCAGAUGUGAAAGCCCCGGGCUCAACCUGGGAACUGCGUUUGAAACUACAAGACUAGAGUGUGGCAGAGGGGGGUGGAAUUCCGCGUGUAGCAGUGAAUUGCGUAGAGAUGUGGAGGAACACCGAUGGCGAAGGCAGCCCCCUGGGUCAACACUGACGCUCAGGCACGAAAGCAUGGGGAGCAAACAGGAUUAGAUACCCUGGUAGUCCAUGCCCUAAACGAUGUCAACUAGUUGUCGGGCCUUUACGGGCUUGGUAACGUAGCUAACGCGUGAAGUUGACCGCCUGGGGAGUACGAUCGCAAGAUUAAAACUCAAAUGAAUUGACGGGGACCCGCACAAGCGGUGGAUUAUGUGGAUUAAUUCGAUGCAACGCGAAAAACCUUACCUACCCUUGACAUGUAUCGAAGCCCGCAGAAAAGCGGGGGUGCCCGAAAGGGAACGAUAACACAGGUGCUGCAUGGCUGUCGUCAGCUCGUGUCGUGAGAUGUUGGGUUAAGUCCCGCAACGAGCGCAACCCUUGUCAUUAAUUGCCAUCAUUUAGUUGGGCACUUUAAUGAGACUGCCGG
rnacentral:rRNA from 1 species